UCUGGUGCCAGCAGCCGCGGUAAUUCCAGCUCCAGUAGCGUAUAUUAAAGUUGUUGCGGUUAAAAAGCUCGUAGUUUGAACUGUGGCCCACGCCGUCGGUCCGUCGCCCGUCGGCGGUACUGCACGGUUAUAAGAGUGGGCUGUCCAGUCGGUGAGACGCUGGUCUAGUUCAAAACUACUCUAGGGUAGUCGGCUUGGUGCCGGUCUCAUGUUUACCCGUCUCGGUGCUCUUAACCGAGUGUCUUGACGGGCCGCCUCGUUUACUUUGAACAAAUUAGAGUGCUCAAAGCAGGCUACGACGCUUGAAUAUAUGUGCAUAGAAUAAUGGAACAGGACCUCGAUUCUAUUUUAUUGGUUUUCUGAAUCAGAGGUAAUGAUAAGGAGGAACGGACGGAGGCAUUCGUAUUGCUACGUUAGAGGUGAAAUUCUUGGAUUGCCGCAAGACGAACGAGUGCGAAAGCUUUUGCCGAGAACGCUUUCUUUAAUCAAGAACGAAAGUUAGAGGUUCGAAGGCGAUCAGAUACCGCCCUAGUUCUAACCAUAAACGAUGCCAACUAGCAAUUCGCCGAUGUUCCUCCGAUGACUCGACGGGCAGCUUCCGGGAAACCAAAGUGUUUGGGUUCCGGGGGAAGUAUGGUUGCAAAGCUGAAACUUAAAGGAAUUGACGGAAGGGCACCACCAGGAGUGGAGCCUGCGGCUUAAUUUGACUCAACACGGGAAACCUCACCAGGCCCUGACACUGGAAGGAUUGACAGAUUGAUAGCUCUUUCUUGAUUCAGUGGGUGGUGGUGCAUGGCCGUUCUUAGUUGGUGGAGCGAUUUGUCUGGUUAAUUCCGAUAACGAACGAGACUCUGGCCUACUAACUAGUCGCGAAACGACAUCCGCAUUCGUGCUGUCGGCGACAAUAUGAACUCUUCUUAGAGGGACAAGCGGCUUCUAGCCGCACGAGAUUGAGCAAUAACAGGUCUGUGAUGCCCUUAGAUGUUCUGGGCAGCACGCGCGCUACACUGAAGGAAUCAACGUGUGCACAUCCUUGUCCGAGAGGACCGGGUAACCCGCUGAACCUCCUUCGUGCUAGGGAUUGGGGCUUGCAAUUAUUUCCCAUGAACGAGGAAUUCCCAGUAAGCGCGGGUCAUUAGCUCGCAUUGAUUACGUCCCUGCCCUUUGUACACACCGCCCGUCGCUACUACCGAUUGAAUGAUUUAGUGAGGUCUUCAGACUGUCGCGCGGCUAUCGCGAUAGCGUGCUGUCGAUGUCGAGGGAAAGAUGAUCAAACUUGAUUAUUUAGAGGAAGUAAAAGUCGUAACAAGGUUUCCC
rnacentral:rRNA from 1 species